UCAUGCAUUUUCCUAGCAAGGCGGGAAUUUGUGUUGGUAAACUAGGCAGUAGACAUAGGAGCAUGUAACCAAAACCGCGGACAAUGAUGGCGUUUUUAUGGUGUUAUAUCAUAUAAGCUUCCUUCAUUCUUCCCUUCACAUAUACAAAGGGCAAUCAUGGCCACUUCUUCAGCUGUGGAGUACACCAUAGGCGGGGUGAAGAUUAAUUUCCCCUGCAAGGCCUAUCCGUCCCAGCUGGCCAUGAUGAACUCGAUUGUCCGUGGUCUGAACCAUGGACAGCACUGUCUCCUGGAGAGCCCGACAGGGAGUGGGAAGAGCCUGGCACUGCUGUGCUCUGCGCUUGCGUGGCAGCAGGCGCAGUAUGCAAAGGUUGAGAAGAUCAGUGGAAGCCCCUCUGAUGGCUGUAAGAAGCCAGACGUUACCACACCUUGCCAGUGUGCCUGUCAUAGCAGGUCAGCCAGGACCACCACUCCCACCAACACAUCGCCAACGAACCAGGUUAUAGUGGACCUCACAGGCCCAGACACAGAAGCAGCUGCAUGUAGUUCGCAUUCAGCAGGGAAAGAGAAGGAACACCAGGCCAAGAGAGCGUCGCUCGCCUCCAAGCUCUCUGGCAAGUUGCAAGAUUCCCUUAACACCAGUCCGGACAAGGAUGAUGACUUCCAGACUGAUAAGAAACGCCUUCGCACUCCGCCUAUAGACCAGAGGAGCAGUAAGCGGAGGUGUCUGGACCACAACGCGGCGUGCGGGGUGGUCUUCAUCGAUGACGAUGAUGAGGCAGCGAGGCCUGUCCCCAGGGCCCAGAGCUGGACCAUGGAGCUGAGCUCUCAAGCUCGAGCACAGGGGGCCCUGCCCUCUCCAGAGUGCUGCUCCCCUGUGUCCUGUCUUCUGUGUCCCUGCGCCGGCGCCAAAGGCGGGCGGACAGCAGCGGGCGGCGGAGAAAAGGCCCGGGACAAAGAGAAAGAGAAGGGCGGAGGAGAGGCCGCGGAGAAGAAGAAGGUGCCCAAGAUCUUCUUCGGCACGCGUACGCACAAGCAGAUCACGCAGGUGGCACGCGAGCUGAAGCGCACGCUCUACUCCAGCACCCCCAUGACCAUCCUGUCCAGCCGCAACCACUCCUGCGUGCACCCGGAGGUGGCGCCGCACGCUAACCGCAACGAGCGCUGCAAGGAGCUGCUGGACCAAAAGGACGGCCGUAGCUGCAGGUACUACCACAACGUGCACAAGAUGCGGGAGCAGAGCUCCCUGCAGUGGGUGCACGGGCUGCACCAGGCCUGGGACAUCGAGGAGCUGGUCAAGCUGGGCACCAAGCUGCGCUCCUGCGCAUACUACGCCGCCCGCGAGCUCAUGCAGGACGCCAACAUCGUCUUCUGCCCUUACAACUACCUUCUGGACCCCCUCAUCCGCGAGAGUAUGGAGAUCAACCUGAAGGGGCAGAUUGUGGUGCUGGAUGAAGCCCACAACAUCGAGGACUGCGCCCGCGAGAGUGCCAGCUACACGCUCAACCAGAAGGAGCUGCUGGAUGCCCGCGAGGAGCUGGAGUCCAUGGUGAAGCAUGGCAUCCGCCCUGUCCACCACCACCCCCUACUGGCCUUCUGCUGCAGCCUCACCAACUGGGUGCAGGAGAGCUCUGGCGCCCUAAAGGAGAGGGGCUAUGAGAGCUCCUGUAAGGUGUGGACGGGGAAGGAGGUGCUGGCCAUCUUCCACCAGAUGGGCAUCACUGCAGCCACCUUCAGCAUGCUGCAGAAGAACCUGGCUGCGGUGUUGGAGAAGGAGGAGCGCGUGGGGCUGGUCAACGGCCGAGAGGACACUGUCACGGUGCCCACCGUCAGCUCCGGCACCGCCUCCGUCCUCAAGAGCCUCUUCAUGGUCCUCGACUACCUCUACAGACAGGAGAGCAGGUUUGCGGAGGACUACCGGGUGGCGCUGCAGCAGACCUAUGCCUGGACAGUCCAGCCCGAUGUUCCUGACGCUCAGGGCUUCUUCGCCAGGCCACACCGUCGCCGCAACAGUGCCCGCACCAAGACGCUCGUGCACACUCUCAGCUUCUGGUGCCUCAAUCCUGCAGUGGCCUUUUCGGACCUGAGUGGCUCAGUGCGUAGCAUCGUGCUGACCUCAGGCACCCUCUCCCCCAUGGACUCCUUCUCCUCAGAGCUGGGCGUCAGCUUCCCCAUCCAGCUGGAGGCCAGCCAUGUCAUCGGCAGGUCCCAGGUGUGGGUGGGCACGCUGGGCACAGGCCCCCAGGGCCGCAAGCUGUGUGCCACCUUCCAGCACGCGGAGACGUUCACCUUCCAGGACGAGGUGGGGGCGCUGCUGCUGCACGUGUGCCAGACCAUGGGCCCCGGCGUGCUCUGCUUCCUGCCCUCCUACAAGAUGCUGGAUAAGCUGCGAGACCGCUGGAUCAACACGGGACUCUGGGAGAAGCUGGAGGAGCGGAAGACGGUGAUCACAGAGCCUCGCGGUGGCGGCAAGGGCGACUUCGACGAGCUGCUGCAGACCUACUACGAGGCCAUCAGGCACAGCGGCCAGCAAGAUGGUGCGCUGCUGAUAGCCGUGUGCAGAGGGAAGGUGAGUGAAGGACUGGACUUCACUGAUGACAACGCCCGAGCUGUGGUCACCAUCGGAAUCCCCUUCCCCAACAUCAAAGACCUGCAGGUGGAGCUGAAGAUGAAGUAUAAUGAUCAUCACUGUAAAGCUCGGGGCCUGCUGACUGGCAGUCGCUGGUAUGAGAUCCAGGCCUACCGUGCCCUCAACCAGGCCUUAGGCAGGUGUAUCCGCCAUAAGAAUGACUGGGGCGCCCUCAUCCUGGUAGAUGACCGUUUCAGGUCAAAUCCCAACAAGUACAUCACAGGUCUGUCAAAGUGGGUGCGCCAGUUGGUCCAACACCACAACAACUUUGGUGACGCCAUGCAGUCCCUGGUUUCCUUCUCCCAGUGCCAGCAGGGGGCAGCAGAGAACCACGCAGCAGGGAAGACGGAGCAAGUGGCGCUCCCCUGCACCCCCUCCUUCUCUGCCCCUGCAGCCCCAUUCCUGUCCCCACCCCUCAAGCCAGCGGAGCCAGCCCAGCUCCCCCCAGCCAUCCCGGUGGGGGAGUGGAGACUGACGACAGGGCCUUCACCUCAGCUGUGCAGCCCUGCACCCACCUGCCACGGCGCAGACACGGGCACAGGUGACCAGAAGGGCUCGCGUCCUCCGUUGACUCCCCUGGCAAUAGGUGAGAAGGGCAACAAGACCCCGAGGCAGGGCACCCCAAAGCCCCUCCACCAGUUCUUCACCUUGACCCCCAUCAGCGCUCGCUUCAAGGCCCCCAUCUUUCACCCCAAGAGCAGCAGCAAUCCCACAUCCGACCCCACAAAGCCCAGCGCCACCUAUAGGUCGUGUGCAGAAGAAGAGACCUCACCACCACUGACCACCCCACAUGUACAGGCCAAGCCCCCUAACCCUCUCCCUACUAUUGAACUGACUGCGUCCCCAGUAAAGGCCCCCCCUUGCCCCAUACCCGCAGAGGCGGCCAGUCUCUCAGGUCCUGCAGUGGACGCUGAUGGGGAGGGAGAGGAGGAGGAGGAAGAGAAGGAGGAGGACCAGACCGUCUUCUACAGUCCGGAGCUGUUUGGAGAUGAGGAAGAUGAUGCUGCUGAGGACGACGAGGAUGAUGAGGACUGCGUUGUGGUGGUGCCAGAGGAAGAACCUCCGCAGACGACUGAAGGGAGGCCUCAGAAUGGCAUCCCAGAAUCCUCUGUGGCAGCCACAGCCCUUGGACUUUCAGAGGAGCCAUUUGGCUCAGUGGAACUCGGGAGAAGCAGCCGUGCUACUACUGCUUGUGGCCAGCAGGGCAGCGCCACGUGCACAGACUCAAAGAACAGGACCGGGCAAGGGCUAGCAGAGGAGAGGUCAGCGUUGUGCAGCAGCAGGAGAGCAGGUAGCGAGAAGGACACCACAGGUCAGAUGUCAGAGCAGAGACAAACGCAGCAGCAACAGACUCAGGGCAGACAGGCAGGCAGCAGGUCACGCAGGCUCUCCAGGUCUAGGCAGAAAGGGUCAUCUUCCUCAGGUCGCGGCGCUGGAGAGGGUUUGGACACAGCAGGCGACGCCAAGGCGGAGAUUCAGGGCAGACGGCGUGGAAGAGGCAGGGGCACGACAAAGCGGCCUGUGUCUCCACACACACUCACCCCGACUCAGCCACUGGCGACGUGCAGGGCAGUGACCGCCAUGUGUACGUCCAGAACAGGGUGUGAGAGCCAGAGAAGUGUUCGAGCAGGGAGCGGCCAAGGUUGUGAAGCACCAACCAAAGGCAAACAGCCCAGCGUGUUCUGCCAGCAGUACAGCAGGAGCCUGCCCAAGGUGGCAGUGCCCGCAGUGCCAAAGACCUCCAGAAGGAGGAUGGCAGGAAAGGCCUCAGCUGUGCCCCCCUUGCAGGGUCAGGAGGAGGGUGAGAUGGCCUCGCUGAAGGGACGGGGGCAUUUAGAGAGGGCCCGUGCAGGCCCGCCAAUAGUGGGGUUUGAGAUCGUCACCCCUCCUCAACAGAGUAGACUUGCCUCUCUUGUGCAGACUGCAGAGGGAGAAGGCAACAAGCGAGAGGAGGAGGAGGAGAGAUGCCCCACCGAGUCAGCUCAGACAGAGUCCUUAGGAAUCAAAGUUCAGAGGUCACGCCGGAAUCGCAAGGGAGCCCAGACAGGAAGAGGCAGCCAUCAGCCCGAGAGGGAGGCUCCGUGUAUGAGUGGCCUGCACUGUUCUGUUUGCGAUCAGGAGCUGCUCUCUCUUGCGAAAGGCGUGCUGUGUAGCAUUGUGUGCGAGCAAGAGCCCGUGGUCAGCCUGUGGAGGAGCUCCAGGUGGGCCGGCCGAGCUCCAGCCCUCUGCCCCUGCCCCUGCCCGGCAGCCAUCCAGCUCAGCAGGGCUCAGGACCCGGAGAGCCCCCUGCUGCUGCAGGUGGAGAACAUCGCCGCCCUGCAGGGCCUGCAGAGAACACUACUGCCCUACACAGACACAGGCGUGCAGGCGGGUCCGUGUGUGUAUAAUGCACGGUGGGAUCCGGCCGAGUGCUCGGUGACGCUGCUGCUGCAGUGCCAGGGCUGCGCCUCCCUCCGGCCCUUGGGACCUUUCUCCGCCUCAGCCGCCCUCGUCCAGCAUCCCAGGGAGCCUGGCCAAGACCAGAUGUGGCUGGUCCCAGCUGCCAUCAGGUUCUGCUCCAGGAUGCUGAGCUUAAGAGAGGCCGCCGUUUGAGACGAGGAGUGCAGGCCUGGACCCAGGAAUCUCAUCGCCCUCAACAGCCUCAGCCCAGAGCGGCCUAACUAGGCCCACCACCGUAAUCUGUCAAGGGGAUUGGAGUUUCUAGGGGCCUGUGCACAGAGCCAUCUGCUUCAACUCCUCGCCAGCUCAUCUGCCGGCUCAAGCUCCCCAAAGUUCCCGUUGAUUUGCUAGAGCAGUAGGCACUUCCUACACUACAGAGACCCCAGUCCCUCGAAUGGCUUAGUGGAGAGGCAGGAGUGCCGACAAGAUCCAGGACAGGCAGGCGGCCGUAACUCACUGCCCUAAUGACUGUGGUCUGUAGGUCGGCGAGAGGAGGGAAAACCCUGCUCCUCAAGACAUCAUCGCACCCUACACUUUUUAAAAGUCACGCUUGCCGAGGCUGGAAGAAACUCUCAGGAGAAUUAGCCAUUUGAGAUGCAGCUCCACAUAAAUCACCCACAAAAGACGUGUCUGGGCCUCCCACCUCCUCAGGAUCUCUGGACCCCCACUAACUAUAUUACCCCACCUUCCCCAGAUCUCUAGACCUCCACCAACUGUUCAUUCCCAUGCUAGCCAGUGCUAGUGUCCUGACCACAGUCGCAUGAUUGCUCUUUCUGAUUUAAACCAUGCAUCUUUUUGAAUUACUACUUCCAACAUAUUCUGUUAAUUUGCCAUGGCUUCCCAGCCAAAGUAUCAGAUUUACUGUUAAUCCAAAAACCCGCUUAAGGAUUUAAAUGGUCUUGACAAACGUGGACAUUUUUUUAUACUGUUAAUACAGAUAUUUAGGUACCAUUUUGUGUUGUGACAGAUGACACAGGUGUUGUUAGAUUGCUAAACAACACCUGCAGUGAGGUUAAGUAGAGUCAUGCAUACACAUAAACACAUCCAUAGAGAGCCAGAAAGUGAGAAAGAAAGAAAGAAAUCUGUCCUAAGCAGAUUUCCAAAUGAUAGAUCAGCGAUGUAUGUGAAGUUCAGCCAACACCCAGCCCUGAGACUGAGCAGCCUUGCAAGGGUACUAAUGAACCCUAAUGAUUUCCCCCUGUUCCCUACAGACUUUGUCCAGCAUACCCUUUAAAGACAAAACCCCAUCCAGGAGAACUGAGAACUGGGAGGCCAAAAAUACAAUUUAUUCAACAAAUGUGUGCAAAAAAACACUGAAAUAUUCAAAGAAAGUAAUCCCAUACACAUUGGGUCAAAAGACUGCCAUGUAUUUCUUUUUCUUUCUUCUCCCCAAAAUCCUUAAUGUUUUCAAGGCUAGUGCAGACUUUACUUCAUUUUGUCUGCUACACUCUCAGGACUUGCUUUGUGGCUUUCUGCUGGCUGGAUCUGAUCCAACUCAGUCGUUUGGAUCAGGGAUUUGAGCAGAGCUCUCUGUUCUGUUCUGUUCUGCUCAGUUCUGUUCGGCUCUCCUUGUGGCUUAAGAGUGGCCCCUAUGCCCCCAUCUGGUUGAAAAGGGUUUCUCUGAUGUCCCUCGCUCUGAAGCCCAUAGCUCUGGACUGCGUCAGAGUGAGCCCAGGAUGCAGAUCAGAUGGGUCCACUCCAGCUUCAUCCAACUCCGAAAAGAGUGAGAGAGAGAAAGAGAGGAGACACCUACGGUCCACUUCGGACAUUCCAGGAGAAUGACUGUAGACUGUUUUUAGUUAGUGCCAACCUUUGCCAGAACAGACCCAGUUCAGUUUCUCCUUUAAGUUGUUCCUGCUUACAGUCUAAGCCACAAAUAACUACAGUUUGCUUCCAGUCUUUCCACUGGGUUAUUCUUACAAAAACUGCACAGGUCACUUUAGUAGCUGGAUUCUUUCUAGGUCAAAGAAAAAUCUAAACUUAAAGCACAGAUUUUGCAUAAAUACACUGUUGGUGAGGCCUUGAAGUCAACAUGAGUCCAGAGAAGCUGUGAAAAUUAACACAAAACAGUCUCUGUAACCUUGAAUCCCUAUACAUUGAGGGUUGCUUAUAUAAUCUAAAACUAUUAUCUAAUAAUAUUACAAUUAUUUAUGAACUGCUGAUGAAUCUUUCAUAAUGAUUAUCUGCUUGUAAAUAAUUUUGUUAUUUCUUUUAGUGCAACAUAAGGUACUGCAUAAGGAAAACUUCAAAUCAAGUAUCAAAUUUUACAGUUGAGCCAGGACAUCAAAUCCUAGUCUCACCACUAGGACACCACUGUUACCUAAAAUGGCACUUAUGUUUGCACCUGCAUAAACCAACCAGCUUAUUCAGUCCACUCAAAUCCUUCAAUCAAUAUUUCACAUACAUAAAAUAUAAAUUCACGUGUAUAUAAUAUAGGCCAGACAAAUGGAUAUGUUUUAGACUGUAGACGUUUUCAAUCACAGCAUGUCAAGAGCAUAAUUUGUACAUGUUGUGCUUGUGUUUUUUUUUUUUUUUUCUGAGUUGGCAAAAAGACCAUGAACCUUACACUGCUUAUUUUGAAGAUAUCGUGCUUUGCACGAUUUGCACAAUGUCCUUAUCCUCUUCAUAAAAUAUUGUUAGUGUCAUAAACCUGCUGAAAUAAAUAUUUCAUUCGCACAAACCACAGACCAAGCAAACACUGCAUGGAUUGGAUGACUCCCACUCACUAACUAUGGCUUCAGUGUGCAAUUCAGCACCGGCGCUAUGGCUGUCUAAGAUCGUAAUCUCAAUUGCAAAUGCUUCUAGGGGCAGCACCAAGGUAGGACACAGAGGUACACCCACACAUCUUGAUAGGUAAGGCGACCAUGUGCUGAAUUGUUCCUCUGUGCGCACAGGUGCCUCUUUAGCUUUCAGUCCAGUGAGCUCCUACCCCAGUCAGUCCCAUUUGAUAUUGAUAGGCCGAGUCACGUGCGGAGGGGCUUUGGGCUGCGAAGCCAGAAAAAUCCCUGUGG